UACGGAGGGGGCUAGCGUUGUCCGAAGUUACUGGGCGUAAGGCGCGCGUAGGCGGGUUGGUAAGUCCGCUGUGAAAGCCCGGAGCUUAACUCCGGAGGGUCGGUGGAUACUGCCAGUCUUGAAGGUGCUAGGGGGAGAUGGAAUUACCGGUGUAGCGGUGAAAUGCGUAGAUAUCGGUAGGAACACCAGUGGCGAAGGCGGUCUCCUGGGGCAUUCUUGACACUGAGGCGCGAAAGCUGGGGGAGCAAACGGG
rnacentral:rRNA from 1 species